GGACAACCUGCCCUGAGGACUGGAAUAAUCCCGGGAAACUGGGGGUAAUUCCAGAUAUGUCAGAACUCCUGGAAUGGGUUCUGGCAGAAAGGCUCCGGCGCCUCAGGAUGGGUCUGCGGCCUAUCAGGGUAGUAGUGGGUGUAAUGUACCUACUAGCCUACGACGGGUACGGGUUGUGAGAGCAAGAGCCCGGAGAUGGAUUCUGAGACAUGAAUCCAGGCCCUACGGGGUGCAGCAGGCGCGAAAACUUUACAAUGCGGGCAACCGCGAUAAGGGGACCUCGAGUGCUGGGUUACAAACCUGGCUGUUGGGCUGCCUAAAAAGCAGUCUAUAGCAAGGGCCGGGCAAGACCGGUGCCAGCCGCCGCGGUAACACCGGCGGCUCGAGUGGUAACCGCUAUUAUUGGGUCUAAAGGGUCUGUAGCCGGCCGACUAAGUCUCUUGGGAAAUCUGGCAUCUCAAGUGUCAGGCUGCCAGGGGAUACUGGUCGGCUUGGGACCGGGAGAGGUGAGAGGUACCUCGGGGGUAGGGGUGAAAUCUUGUAAUCCUCGAGGGACCACCAGUGGCGAAGGCGUCUCACCAGAACGGAUCCGACGGCAAGGGACGAAAGCUAGGGGCACGAACCGGAUUAGAUACCCGGGUAGUCCUAGCCGUAAACGAUACUCGCUAGGUGUCGGCCACGGUGCGACCGUGGUCGGUGCCGUAGGGAAGCCGUGAAGCGAGCCACCUGGGAAGUACGGCCGCAAGGCUGAAACU
rnacentral:rRNA from 1 species